GACGAACGCUGGCGGCGUGCUUAACACAUGCAAGUCGAACGGAAAGGCCCUGCUUUUGUGGGGUGCUCGAGUGGCGAACGGGUGAGUAACACGUGAGUAACCUGCCCUUGACUUUGUGAUAACUUCAGGAAACUGGGGCUAAUACCGGAUAGGAGCUCCUGCUGCAUGGUGGGGGUUGGAAAGUUUCGGCGGUUGGGGAUGGACUCGCGGCUUAUCAGCUUGUUGGUGGGGUAGUGGCUUACCAAGGCUUUGACGGGUAGCCGGCAUGGGAGGGGGGACGGCGACAUUGGGACUGAGAUACGGACCAGACUCCUACGGGAGGCAGCAGGGGGGAAUAUUGCACAAUGGGCGGAAGCCUGAUGCAGCAACGCCGCGUGCGGGAUGACGGCCUUCGGGUUGUAAACCGCUUUCGCCUGUGACGAAGCGUGAGUGACGGUAAUGGGUAAAGAAGCACCGGCUAACUACGUG
rnacentral:rRNA from 1 species